GAGUUUGAUCCUGGCUCAGAUUGAACGCUGGCGGCAGGCCUAACACAUGCAAGUCGAGCGGCAGCGACUUAACUGAACCUUCGGGGAACGUUAAGGGCGGCGAGCGGCGGACGGGUGAGUAAUGCCUGGGAAUAUGCCCUGAUGUGGGGGAUAACUAUUGGAAACGAUAGCUAAUACCGCAUAAUCUCUUCGGAGCAAAGAGGGGGACCUUCGGGCCUCUCGCGUCAGGAUUAGCCCAGGUGGGAUUAGCUUGUUGGUGAGGUAAUGGCUCACCAAGGCAACGAUCCCUAGCUGGUCUGAGAGGAUGAUCAGCCACACUGGAACUGAGACACGGUCCAGACUCCUACGGGAGGCAGCAGUGGGGAAUAUUGCACAAUGGGGGAAACCCUGAUGCAGCCAUGCCGCGUGUGUGAAGAAGGCCUUCGGGUUGUAAAGCACUUUCAGUAGGGAGGAAGGUAGUGUAGUUAACACCUGCAUUAUUUGACGUUACCUACAGAAGAAGCACCGGCUAACUCC
rnacentral:rRNA from 1 species